rnacentral:rRNA from 1 species
AAUGAACGUUGGCGGCGUGGAUUAGGCAUGCAAGUCGAGCGAGAACCCCGCAAGGGGGGACAGCGGCGAAAGGGAUAGUAAUGUGUAGAUUAUCUGCCCUCAGGUCCGGGAUAGCUGCGGGAAACUGCAGGUAAUACCGGAUAACAUCUCCGGAUCAAAGGUGUGAUUCCGCCUGAGGAUGAGUCUGCAUCCUAUUAGCUAGUUGGUGGGGUAAUGGCCUACCAAGGCAUUGAUGGGUAGCAGGUGUGAGAGCACGACCUGCGUCAUUGGGACUGAGACACUGCCCAGACACCUACGGGUGGCUGCAGUCGAGAAUCUUCGGCAAUGGGCGCAAGCCUGACCGAGCGACGCCGCGUGUGGGAUGAAGGCCUUCGGGUUGUAAACCACUGUCAGAGGGGAUGAAAUGCAGGUGGGUUCUCCCAUCUGUUUGACAUAGCCUCAGAGGAAGGACGGGCUAAGUUCGUG